UGCAAGUCGAGCGGUAGAGAGAAGCUUGCUUCUCUUGAGAGCGGCGGACGGGUGAGUAAUGCCUAGGAAUCUGCCUGGUAGUGGGGGAUAACGUUCGGAAACGGACGCUAAUACCGCAUACGUCCUACGGGAGAAAGCAGGGGACCUUCGGGCCUUGCGCUAUCAGAUGAGCCUAGGUCGGAUUAGCUAGUUGGUGGGGUAAUGGCUCACCAAGGCGACGAUCCGUAACUGGUCUGAGAGGAUGAUCAGUCACACUGGAACUGAGACACGGUCCAGACUCCUACGGGAGGCAGCAGUGGGGAAUAUUGGACAAUGGGCGAAAGCCUGAUCCAGCCAUGCCGCGUGUGUGAAGAAGGUCUUCGGAUUGUAAAGCACUUUAAGUUGGGAGGAAGGGUUGUAGAUUAAUACUCUGCAAUUUUGACGUUACCGACAGAAUAAGCACCGGCUAACUCUGUGCCAGCAGCCGCGGUAAUACAGAGGGUGCAAGCGUUAAUCGGAAUUACUGGGCGUAAAGCGCGCGUAGGUGGUUUGUUAAGUUGGAUGUGAAAUCCCCGGGCUCAACCUGGGAACUGCAUUCAAAACUGACUGACUAGAGUAUGGUAGAGGGUGGUGGAAUUUCCUGUGUAGCGGUGAAAUGCGUAGAUAUAGGAAGGAACACCAGUGGCGAAGGCGACCACCUGGACUAAUACUGACACUGAGGUGCGAAAGCGUGGGGAGCAAACAGGAUUAGAUACCCUGGUAGUCCACGCCGUAAACGAUGUCAACUAGCCGUUGGAAGCCUUGAGCUUUUAGUGGCGCAGCUAACGCAUUAAGUUGACCGCCUGGGGAGUACGGCCGCAAGGUUAAAACUCAAAUGAAUUGACGGGG
rnacentral:rRNA from 1 species